GUUAAAUGUGAGGUAUGAUGGUUCACUGGGGAUUUGUAAGAGUUCAGGCUACUUUCUAGAGCAUUUAAUUUGUUUUUGAGGCUUCUGUGACCUCAGAUUUAAUCAAGGUGUUUAGUGAGUUCAUCACAGAAAGAUAGAGAGAUGUGUUCAGUGUUGUUAGCUUGGCAUAAUUAGUAUUUCUUCUGUCUAUUUUUCAUGACACACUAUGGAGUCCAACAGGGUAAUUUGAUUGAAAUGUCUCAGGUUGUUUUCAAUUUUCAUGUUCUUCUGCUCCCAAAGAGUAGAACAGUAGAGGAGAAAAUGAAACAAAAGAGUGAAAGAUACUAUGGAGGACAACUUAGAUGCAGGAUGAAAUCCAGGCUCAGCCCAAGGUAAUGACCGAAAUCCUCUGGAUUUCAGCAGGGCUGUGAUUUCACGCAUGGACCUUCCCCAUUAGGUGGCUUAGGUUAAUUGAGCUAACAAUUACCUCCCAUGUGAUCACCAUCUCAGAGCGGCUUCCUCCUCCUCCACUGAUAUUUGUUGGUGCCACAGCAGGAACUGGAAAAGAAAAGACAUUGGUUCUUGCAACUACCCACAACUACUGCCAUGGGUCUUGUCAACUGGAUGCUUAGAGCUUUUCCAAGCUUACAUGCAGCCAUUCUGCCUUUCAACACAUAGAACAGGUACUAUAUUGUAUAACAGUACAUUUUAAAUGAACUGAAAUGAUGUUUACACAUUUUCACCUUCAUAAGGCUGAAGCCACAGAUGUAUGUGAUACAUGAGUACCUUGGUUCCAAAAAUUAAUUAAAGAAGCUACUAGCAUCAAGUAUCUGACAUUAUUAUGCUUCAUCAACUAAUUGGCAAAAUGAUGUUCUAUUCAGACUGUAGCUGCAACACUACUGAUUUACUAAUUAUGCAUUUGUUCAGUAAACAUGUUGUUGGAACAAUGUAUUAUUUUUUUUUUGUAAUUGGCUGUAUGCUUUUCUUAGGAAAUUCAAAACUUGCAAUUUGCUUUUCUCCGUCUCCAAGACUGUAAGUGUCCAAAAGUUCAUUAAUUAGAGCUUGAAUUCCCCAGCAUUGCCCUGGGUGUAUGGCACAAUGGGUACAAGGUUGAGGUCAGGCAAUAUGCUAGUGUCCCUGGCUGAAGGGGCCUUGUCACUCAAGUGACUCUUGGUGGCAAGGCAAAGAAAAUAUCAGCAUUUUUUUCCUGUUGCUUUAUAUUUCCAUAAACGUGCCCAUCCCAUUAGCCUAUAAAUAUUGACAAUUUUGGAGAACUAAAGUGUGAUAUAAUGGAUGGAAUUUAGACAGACCAGCCUUGUUCUAAUGGUAAAGUUCACGAUAGGUCUACCUGCAAGGAUAAUAUCAUGUUCCUUUUCAGCUGCUGAGGAAGUAUAAACAAGAGGGCAACUCUGGAACUGACUGAGCAGGAACCACCAAUAAGAGGGCAUUUAUACUCUUUUCCAUCUCCAAAUCCUUGGUACUAUUUUUAGAAAUUUCAAGAUUGCUUUGUUGUCCCCUUCAUUCAGCUCUCACAGUCUGAAAAUUGGAUGUGUCAAGACAGGGCUGAAGACAGGGUAGAAAUGGGUAGGAUGGUUUCAUCUCAAGCUUGUUCAAAGGUUUCACAAGUUUUACAAUGUCUUCCUGUCCUUCCCCAUUCAUCCACCCAGCGUUAGGCCAGCUGCAGGAGUGACAAUAAAAAGGCAAUAGCCCUUUCAGUUCAUGGAAAUUUAUGUCAACUCACUAUCACUGCUAGAUUCUGGUACACAUAUAAAUCUUCAUCUUAUUCCAUCCUCUCUAGAAAUGUAGAAAUUUCACAAUAAUUUUGUUAUGUAGUCAUAAAAGCGAGUGGAAGUGCAAGUGGACUAGCCUAUUUUUGAGAGUUCUGCAUAAGUAUUCCAUUUUGUCACUCACAAUCAGUCUCUUACAUGCAUCACAGAUAAAUAAUCUAAGAUGGAAAAGAACCAUGUUAAAGGGAAAAAAAAAAUGCCAAAACAGACUUUCAAUCUAGUGUUUCACUGUUUCAUGAACCAGUUGAUGCUCAAUUAGUUCAUGUGUUAAAUGUGUUUCGUACUUACUACAUUUGCAUUGGGAAAAAUAUUUGUACUACUGCUCAGCAGAGCCUCAACUAGGUCAUAGUUGAGAAACAGAUGAAAGUUUACAGCUGAGUGCACUAACAGAGGCUCAAUUAAUUCUCAGCUCCACUUUAAUGAAAUGAACAGUGUCUCAUUUGCAUCCACAAAUCUACUAAUGCUCAGAUUUCAGCUGGCAAAAUAGCUAUUAUAACAGCAAAGUUCAAAUUCACCCUUUCAUGCCCAGACUUUUGCUGUCCACGCUAUCACACUGCUUUCAGAUCCCUAGUCUGAUUAAAACAACAACCAAAGAAAAGAUAAAUUGCUUCUUCUGCCACUGCAGAGCAAUAUUUUGAGACAGAAUGAUUUACAGCAGUGAAGGGGUUAAGCGACUAAAAGCUGGAAUCUUUCUAUUCCUUCUGUUAAGCUUCAGACAGUGCUACACUUGUGCUAUUGCUAUGAUAAAUAAUGUUAAUUUUAUUGCUUCCUUCUAUUUCUAGCUCUAGCUUUGUGAAUCCCUCUAAUUAAAAAAAAAAACAAAAACAAAAACAAACCACCCCACCUUAAAAGAUGAAAGCUUCUACUGACUAUAUAGGUGGGUUUGAACAUCACUUUGCAAAGCCCUAUGGUGCCAACAGCAAGAAAGACCUUCUCAAGAAUAAUUUUGACUUCAUGAUCAGUCAUGAAAAGGAGAACAUGUAUCUGUGAUACUCUGGUGGGAAAUUUAGAAAAUUUGGACCCUUCCUGUCUCCAUCUUUUCUUUAAUCUUCCUUGCAUGUGAAUGUUUCAUAGUGUUUUCCUGUGGGAGGAAGGAGUCAUGUACCACUCAGACAUGCAUCCCACAGACACCCAGGCGCAGGCAGGAUUAGUGCAUCUUUCCAUACUCGAGGCUCUCAAGCUCUUUCCUUUAUUUGAGAGCAGCCUGCAAUCUGCUUUACUACCACACUGGCCAGGCAGUUCUGACUGCUGAUAAGAUUCAUUUGAUGCCUCUCUGCACCUGGAAAACUGACAAAAAUCUAUUAAGAUUGGUGUUCCAAUAAUCAAAUAGUUUUUUCUGGCAUCAG